GCUCUGGGCAGCUGUGAGAUCGCCACGGCGACUGCUGCUCCUUAAACCUGCCAGGGGAGGCGGGACCUGCCGGCGGGAUCUCAAGGACCAACCGGAGAUAAGUGUGGUGAGCACAGACAGUCACUCAGUGAGGGUCCAGUAAGCCUUGUUUGCACCAAGAGUGGCAAAGUUCAUGUGGAAAUCAUUUUUUGGUGAUUAAGGACCGAAAUGAGCCAUUGAGAGAAAAGAGCCAUCCGGUGACACGAUGGCACGCCCUGUGCACACUGGGGGUCUCACAUCACAG